rnacentral:rRNA from 1 species
GUGGGGAAUAUUGGACAAUGGGCGCAAGCCUGAUCCAGCCAUGCCGCGUGGGUGAAGAAGGCCUUCGGGUUGUAAAGCCCUUUUGUUCGGGACGAAAUCGUACGGGCGAAUAUCCCGUGCGGAUGACGGUACCGAAAGAAUAAGCACCGGCUAACUUCGUGCCAGCAGCCGCGGUAAUACGAAGGGUGCAAGCGUUACUCGGAAUUACUGGGCGUAAAGCGUGCGUAGGCGGUUUGUUAAGUCCGCUGUGAAAGCCCUGGGCUCAACCUGGGAAUUGCAGUGGAUACUGGCAAGCUAGAGUGCGGUAGAGGAUGGUGGAAUUCCCGGUGUAGCGGUGAAAUGCGUAGAGAUCGGGAGGAACACCCGUGGCGAAGGCGGCCAUCUGGACCAGCACUGACGCUGAGGCACGAAAGCGUGGGGAGCAAACAGGAUUAGAAACCCCGGUAGUCC